rnacentral:rRNA from 1 species
GCAGAGCAUCCUACGGGAGGCAGCAGUGGGAAUAUUGCACAAUGGGCGCAAGCCUGAUGCAGCCAUGCCGCGUGUAUGAAGAAGGCCUUCGGGUUGUAAAGUACUUUCAGCAGUGAGGAAGGUGGGUAUGUUAAUAGCAUAUUCAUUUGACGUUAGCUGCAGAAGAAGCACCGGCUAACUCCGUGCCAGCAGCCGCGGUAAUACGGAGGGUGCGAGCGUUAAUCGGAAUUACUGGGCGUAAAGCGCAUGCAGGUGGUUUGUUAAGUCAGAUGUGAAAGCCCGGGGCUCAACCUCGGAAUUGCAUUUGAAACUGGCAAACUAGAGUACUGUAGAGGGGGUAGAAUUUCAGGUGUAGCGGUGAAAUGCGUAGAGAUCUGAAGGAAUACCGGUGGCGAAGGCGGCCCCCUGGACAGAUACUGACACUCAGAUGCGAAAGCGUGGGGAGCAAACAGGAUUAGAUACCCUGGUAG